ensembl:misc_RNA Metazoa_SRP Metazoan signal recognition particle RNA
GCCAGGUGUGGUGGCAUGUGCCUGUAGUCCCAGCUACUCGGGAAGCUGAGGCUGGAAGAUCACUUGAGUCCAGGAGUUCUGGGCUGUCAUGCGCUAUGAUGAUCGGGUAUCUGCAUUAACUUCGGCAUCAAUAUGGUGACCUCCCGGGAGUGGGGGACCACCAGGUUGCCUAAGGACGGGUGAACUGGCCCAGGUCAGAAAUGGAGAGGUCAAAACUCCCAUGCUGAUCAGUAGUGGGAUUGUGCCUGUGAACAGCCACUGCACUCCAGCCUGGGCAACAUAGCGAGACCCCGCCUCU